rnacentral:tRNA from 1 species
GCCGAAGUGGUGGAAUUGGUAGACACGCUGUCUUGAGGGGGCAGUGGUGGCAACACCGUCCGGGUUCGAGUCCCGGCUUCGGCA